CAUCAGGAGGAGACUUUCCAUCAACAUUCAGUGGUACAGCGCGGGGUGGUCUAUGACUAAGCUGGAAAUGCUUGAAUUGGACGGGAGCAAGAUCAAAGGGAGAUGAAAGAGCAAAAAGGAAAAGAGUGGUCACUAGUUGAAGUUGCUUUGAAGACAUCUCCUAAAAAAAGCAUCUCAUCCCAUUCACACCCACUGAAAAGGCUUCUGCGCCUAUCUCAGAACAUUGCCCACAUGAGAAGCUGGGAGGUGGGACCUGCAUCAAAUCCCUGAAGCCGUGUCACCAUUCCUGUGCCGCUGUGGACCAAGGAGGUCUUAGGGACAAGAGGCCAGAUUCUCCACCUUCACUUCCAGUGAGGUAUGUCUCCCAUGGACCUCACGGGGCUACUCAUGGAGGAAACACCGUUCCACAAAGUGCAGCUCAGAUGGGCAUGAUUUGGCCUCCACCAUCUGGUGGUUUUAAUUAUGGAGAGAAACUUCAGCAAACUCUGAAUGGAGGUGUUCCGGCUGGCGGCAGUCCGAAUGAGGAAGAGGCUGGAGCACAAUCAAGCUAAUCGUCGCGUUAAAUGUCUGCCGUUGGGUGACCAGCUCUUGCCCGCUGAGAGCACCUUGCUCCGCAGACGGCCGCGUCGAAUUCGAGGGAGCGACGGCUUGUGCUCGCACAGCGCUUUGCAUUUGAUGGGAUCCCCAAAGGAGCUGCGAAUUUGUCAGGCUGAAAUAUAGUCCGUUCGCUACUGAAGUCAGCUUCCCCUGGCGUGGAAAGCACAUAACUCUGCAAGACAACUGUGUCGAGCAGGGAGUGAUGAACAACGCGCUGCGGAAACUCAGAAGGGGAAUUGGGGCAGGUGCAGUGCAAUGAUCGAACCUGACGUUUGGGAGGAAUGUGGGAGUUUUUACAAGCCAAUUUCUGAAAAAUACAACGUGGCAUCUCUCAUGUAAUCAGAAUUUCCGGUGUGGGUUUCUUCUGAAAGCAGAGCCUCUAGCUUUAGGCACCUGCCAGAUCCGCUGGCUGUAAGACAGGGGGGAAACAUUUUCUUUUGACCCUAAAAAAAGAUGUAUGAGAAGUGAGUAGAUGCUAUACUUCCAAUAUUAGAAGAGGUUACUGCCUUUAGUCUUGAUCACACCACUGCCACAGAGUAUGGCUUCAUCAGAAAGCGGUGAAGAAAAUGGUGAAACGCCUCCUUUGCCCACGUACAGACGCACAAAGGUGGAUAUAGAGCUCCCAAGAGGAGAGAAACACACCACAGCAUCCUCCUCCUUGCUCUGAUUGAUGGGACGCUGCACCCGAAAGGCAACGGGCGGGAAAACGCUGGAGCCGUCGCAGGUCAAACUUUUGGUAUUGCUCAAAAAAAGGAGAAGUUGGACUAUGGACGCAUGAGCAAAUUGCCCUGAGGAUCCCAUGUAUCAAUUGACCUGUGAGAACCACGUCUCUUCUGCAGUGAAAGCCAGGCAA